rnacentral:rRNA from 1 species
GACGAACGCUGGCGGCGUGCUUAACACAUGCCAGUCGAACGGAAAGGCCCUGCUUUUGUGGGGUGCUCGAGUGGCGAACGGGUGAGUAACACGUGAGUAACCUGCCCUUGACUUUGGGAUAACUUCAGGAAACUGGGGCUAAUACCGGAUAGGAGCUCCUGCUGCAUGGUGGGGGUUGGAAAGUUUCGGCGGUUGGGGAUGGACUCGCGGCUUAUCAGCUUGUUGGUGGGGUAGUGGCUUACCAAGGCUUUGACGGGUAGCCGGCCUGGGAGGGUGGCCGGCCACAUUGGGACUGAGAUACGGCCCAGACUCCUACGGGAGGCAGCAGUGGGGAAUAUUGCACAAUGGGCGGAAGCCUGAUGCAGCAACGCCGCGUGCGGGAUGACGGCCUUCGGGUUGUAAACCGCUUUCGCCUGUGACGAAGCGUGAGUGACGGUAAUGGGUAAAGAAGCACCGGCUAACUACGUG